CUCAGGUGGGAACUCCUUUUUGCGAACCCCUAUUUGCUGCUUCAUCUCAGCCAUCAAAGUAAUCUCAACGGCUGGAAAGAAAAAGAGAGCUUACAAUAGAAAUGGGUACGCUGCAAUUCCCCUUAAGGCACGUAUCCUGGCACGCCUUUUCAAAUCCCGCCUUUUUCCAUCCAAUCGCGCCUAUUUUUUUCGGACUCCCUCUUUUUCCUCUCAGACAAAUUCUCCUCUCUCUCUCACCUGUUUAUUCUCUCUGUGAGUGGCGAUUAGGUUAGGGUUGAUAACAGUUACUGUUCACGUUUUUCCCAUCUCCUUCACCUCCUCCACGCACAUAGUACCCAUACACCGACAUCGCCUCCCUCAGACAUCUAUGAAUCCCAAGAAAAUCUUUAAGUUUUUAGAAUUCUAACCUUCAAAUAUAUUUCAUAAAAUCCUAAUUUUAAUUUUUUGUGUUCAUUCUCUCUCACGACUGCCUUCCUUGCCCGCCAGUGUAGGAGGUAAAGUGAGGGGCCUUGGCUCUGUCUUGGGCCUGUUUCCCUGUUACUUGGAUCUGUUACUCUAUUUUGCUGUUUCAGUGAGCUUUUGUUGUUGUUUGGGAUCGUAAGAUGUUUUUCCGUAGACUAGUUUUGGCCUCGACGGCUCUCUUUCUCGCCGGCGCUCUCUUUCUUGAUGUCUCUCUCUCUCUCUCUCUCUCUCUCUCUCUCUGGUUCGCUCGGUCUCGCGCUCUCUCUCCAUGGGAGCCUCCCUUCCUCCAUGGAUCCAUAGGAAACCCUGACUGUCUCUCCAUCUCUCUCUCGCCGGCUCUGUCUUUCGACUGGUCUCUCUCGCCGUCAAACCUUCCUCUAUUCCAUAGAGAUGAGAAUCAGAUCUCUUGGUGUUUGUGAUGACUUUACCUUCCAACUUCCUACCAACUGUCUUAUGUUAAUGGAAAUUACAGAAACCCAUUUGAUUGAAACUUGGCAACAAAGAGAAUGCUCUGUGUAAGUUUCUGAACCAAUAUUUCUUUUUUGAUUUUUCUCCGUUUCCUUUGUAUCUGCCAGGAAAUGCAUUUAAUUAUUCACUAUCGAUGUGACUUGGGCAACAGAUGAGAUGAAUAAGGGCAUUUUGUUGAUAUGGGGCAGUAUUAUGAGAUAAAUAUGCAAUAUUUUGCUGAUAAUUCAAAGCUUAAGAAACAUGGCUGUAAGGUGAGAAAACACUAUCUCUAACUUAGCACAAAAGUAUUGGCAAAAUGUGAAUUAUGCCAUUUUUACGUUUUGUUUCUCCAUCAAUUUGAUGACUUUGUAUCUGUAUUCAGUUUUAAGUUUUAACAGGUUUGACCACCUAAGCUGUCUCCACCACCACCAUAUCCCUUUAGUUUUCUAAUUGUUAAUUCAGUUUGUUAUGUAAUUUUGAUAUAUUGUUCAUGUUUGGGUAGUGUUUGAGUAUUUCUAGUUUAAGCCUCAAUCUAAAACUGUGAUGUGUACAGGUUUUCUGUUUUCUUAAAAAAAUAGAACAGAGACUUUGGCACAUCUUUUCUCAAAUCGGCUGAUUCCUUUGCUGCAAUAGGUCAAGGCCCUCCUACUGCAAACUCUCCUUCUUUUGGUCCUUCACUUUGAGCUCAAAAUGCUCAUCAUCUUUUGAAACAGAUGUGGCUGCUUCAGUUACUGAGAAUAUGCACCCUACCUAGAAGACGCAGAAUAGUGAACGUAUUGUGCAGCCUAAUACGACAAAGGCAUUUUUUGCAAGACUUUGAUUUAAUGCACGGACCCUGCAUUUGAGUAGUUAUCGUUACAUUUUCACAUGAUUGUUGAGUUUUAAUCAAUCGUUUGUGAGACUUUUUUUUUUGGUCUGAAUCGUUUGUGAGACUUAUGUAUGUUCAUAUCUGAUACUGAAGGUUAAUCUAAAAUUGACAUAAACUAGCC